AAUGAGGUGCCUGAGAAUAGGGUUAUCUUGAUAGGAUAAAUUACGUAUAAAUAAUACCCCCAUUA
rnacentral:tRNA from 1 species